rnacentral:misc_RNA from 1 species
ACUGGGACAACUUUUGUGUUAGCUUGUGGGGACCUGUGCCAAUUAGUUCGCUUCCUGAUGUCACUGCGGAACCUCCUCGAAAGGAUAGUGGCGAAUUGCUCCUCAGCAAAUUGUUUCUUGACGCCUGUAGCUCUGUAUAUGCUGUUUUCCCUGCUGGCCAGGAAAACCAAGGACAACCAUUUAUGUCUAAGCAUUUUAAUGUGAUUGAUCCUUUACGAGUAAACAACAACCUUGGCCGUAGUGUGAGUAAAGG